CUUACACAUGCAAGUCGAACGUGAAGCCCGGUACCUAGUAUUGGGUGGAAAGUGGCGGACGGGUGCGUAACACGUUGGUGACCUGCCCCGACGUGGGGGAUAACCGUGGGAAACCACGGCUAAUACCCCGGAUGCCAAAGUAUUUAGAAAGCUUUGGCUAAAGCUCCGGCGCCUCGGGAGGGGCCUGCGGGCUAUCAGCUUGUUGGUGGGGUAAUGGCCUACCAAGGCAAAGACGGCUAGGGGGCGUGAGAGCGCGANCCCCCCACAAUGGAACUGAGACACGGUCCAUACUCCUACGGGAGGCAGCAGUGAGGAAUAUUGCGCAAUGGGGGCAACCCUGACGCAGCAACGCCGCGUGGAUGAUGAAGGCCUUCGGGUUGUAAAAUCCUUUUCCGGGGGAAGAAUCAUGACGGUACCUCGGGAAUAAGUCCCGGCUAACUACGUGCCAGCAGACGCGGUAAAACGUACGGGGCGAGCGUUAUCCGGAUUUACUGGGCGUAAAGCGCACGUAGGCGGCGCUGUAAGUUGGGCGUGAAAGCUCCCGGCUCAACUGGGACAGGUCGUUCAAAACUCCAGUGCUUGAGGUUUGGAAAGAGGAGAAGUGGAAUUCCCGGUGUAGCAGGUGGACUGCCUAGAUCUCGGGAGGAACACCAGUGGCGAACGCGGCUCUCUGGUCCAACCCUGACGCUCAAGUGCCGAAAGCGUGGCGGGAGCGAACGGGAUUUAGAUACCCCAGGUAGUCCACGCCUGUAACCCAUGGAUACUAGGUGUGGGAGGGUUACUUACACAUUCCGUGCCGUAGCUAACGUGAUAAGUAUCCCGCCUGGGGACUACGGCCGCAAGGUUAAAACUCAAAGGAGUUGACGGGGGCCCGCACAAGCAGCGGAGCGUGUGGUUUAAUUCGAUGAUACGCGAAGAACCUUACCUGGGCUUGACAUGUUGGUAGUAGUGAAGCGAAAGCGGAUCGACCCUUCGGGGAGCCAUCACAGGUGCUGCAUGGCUGUCGUCAGCUCGUGUCGUGAGAUGUUGGGUUAAGUCCCGCAACGAGCGCAAACCCUUGUCGUUAGUUACAUGUGUCUAGCGAGACUGCCGGUACCAAACCGGAGGAAGGUGGGGAUGACGUCAAGUCAGCAUGGUCUUUAUGUCCAGGGCUACACACACGCUACAAUGGCCGGUACAAUAGGUUGCCACACCGCGAGGUGGAGCUAAUCCCCAAAGCCGGUCUCAGUUCGGAUUGUAGUCUGCAACUCGACUGCAUGAAGGCGGAGUUGCUAGUAACCGCGCGUCAGCAAUAGU
rnacentral:rRNA from 1 species